GUUCCUUGGAACAGGACGUCAUAGAGGGUGAGAAUCCCGUAUGUGACUGGUUGCCACGCCCGUGUGAAGCUCCUUCGACGAGUCGAGUUGUUUGGGAAUGCAGCUCAAAAUGGGUGGUAAAUUUCAUCUAAAGCUAAAUAUUGGCCAGAGACCGAUAGCGCACAAGUAGAGUGAUCGAAAGAUGAAAAGCACUUUGGAAAGAGAGUCAAACAGUACGUGAAAUUGUUGAAAGGGAAGCGCUUGCAACCAGACUUGCCCGCGGGUGAUCAGCCGGUAUUCUUACCGGUGCACUCGCCCGUGGUCAGGCCAGCAUCGGUUUGGGCGGCUGGAUAAAGUCCACUGGAAUGUAGCUCCUCUCGGGGAGUGUUAUAGCCGGAGGUGCCAUGCAGCCCGCCCGGACCGAGGACCGCGCUUCGGCUAGGAUGCUGGCGUAAUGGUUGUAAGCGACCCGUCUUGAAACACGGACCAAGGAGUCUAACAUCUAUGCGAGUGUUUGGGUGUCAAACCCAUGCGCGUAAUGAAAGUGAACGGAGGUGGGAACCCUCAAGGGUGCACCAUCGACCGAUCCUGAUGUCUUCGGAUGGAUUUGAGUAAGAGCAUAGCUGUUGGGACCCGAAAGAUGGUGAACUAUGCCUGAAUAGGGUGAAGCCAGAGGAAACUCUGGUGGAGGCUCGCAGCGGUUCUGACGUGCAAAUCGAUCGUCAAAUUUGGG
rnacentral:rRNA from 1 species